UACAGAGGCCUCGAGCGUUAGGCGGAAUCACUGGGCUUAAAGCGUGUGUAGGCGGACUUCUAAGUACCUUGUGAAAUCCCACAGCUUAACUGUGGAAACUGCUUGGUAUACUGGGUUGUCUUGAGGUACCUAGGGGCGAGCGGAACAAGUGGUGGAGCGGUGAAAUGCGUAGAUAUCACUUGGAACGCCAACGGUGAAAACAGCUCGCUGGGGGGUAUCC
rnacentral:rRNA from 1 species